GGGGUGCUCGAGUGGCGAACGGGUGAGUAACACGUGAGUAACCUGCCCUUGACUUUGGGAUAACUUCAGGAAACUGGGGCUAAUACCGGAUAGGAGCUCCUGCUGCAUGGUGGGGGUUGGAAAGUUUCGGCGGUUGGGGAUGGGCUCGCGGCUUAUCAGCUUGUUGGUGGGGUAGUGGCUUACCAAGGCUUUGACGGGUAGCCGGCCUGAGAGGGUGACCGGCCACAUUGGGACUGAGAUACGGCCCAG
rnacentral:rRNA from 1 species